rnacentral:rRNA from 1 species
UGGGGAAUUUUGGACAAUGGGGGAAACCCUGAUCCAGCCAUCCCGCGUGUGCGAUGAAGGCCUUCGGGUUGUAAAGCACUUUUGGCAGGAAAGAAACGUCAUGGGUUAAUACCCCGUGAAACUGACGGUACCUGCAGAAUAAGCACCGGCUAACUACGUGCCAGCAGCCGCGGUAAUACGUAGGGUGCAAGCGUUAAUCGGAAUUACUGGGCGUAAAGCGUGCGCAGGCGGUUCGGAAAGAAAGAUGUGAAAUCCCAGAGCUCAACUUUGGAACUGCAUUUUUAACUACCGGGCUAGAGUGUGUCAGGGGGGGGUGGAAUUCCGGGUGUAGCAGUGAAAUGCGUAGAUAUGCGGAGGAACACCGAUGGCGAAGGCAGCCUCCUGGGAUAACAAUGACGCUCAUGCAAGAAAGGGUGGGGAGCAAACAGG